UUAAGCGACUAAGCGUACACGGUGGAUGCCCUGGCAGUCAGAGGCGAUGAAGGACGUGCUAAUCUGCGAUAAGCGUCGGUAAGGUGAUAUGAACCGUUAUAACCGGCGAUUUCCGAAUGGGGAAACCCAGUGUGUUUCGACACACUAUCAUUAACUGAAUCCAUAGGUUAAUGAGGCGAACCGGGGGAACUGAAACAUCUAAGUACCCCGAGGAAAAGAAAUCAACCGAGAUUCCCCCAGUAGCGGCGAGCGAACGGGGAGCAGCCCAGAGCCUGAAUCAGUGUGUGUGUUAGUGGAAGCGUCUGGAAAGGCGCGCGAUACAGGGUGACAGCCCCGUACACAAAAAUGCACAUGCUGUGAGCUCGAUGAGUAGGGCGGGACACGUGGUAUCCUGUCUGAAUAUGGGGGGACCAUCCUCCAAGGCUAAAUACUCCUGACUGACCGAUAGUGAACCAGUACCGUGAGGGAAAGGCGAAAAGAACCCCGGCGAGGGGAGUGAAAAAGAACCUGAAACCGUGUACGUACAAGCAGUGGGAGCACGCUUAGGCGUGUGACUGCGUACCUUUUGUAUAAUGGGUCAGCGACUUAUAUUCUGUAGCAAGGUUAACCGAAUAGGGGAGCCGAAGGGAAACCGAGUCUUAACUGGGCGUUAAGUUGCAGGGUAUAGACCCGAAACCCGGUGAUCUAGCCAUGGGCAGGUUGAAGGUUGGGUAACACUAACUGGAGGACCGAACCGACUAAUGUUGAAAAAUUAGCGGAUGACUUGUGGCUGGGGGGGAAAGGCCAAUCAAACCGGGAGAUAGCUGGUUCUCCCCGAAAGCUAUUUAGGUAGCGCCUCGUGAACUCAUCUCCGGGGGUAGAGCACUGUUUCGGCAAGGGGGUCAUCCCGACUUACCAACCCGAUGCAAACUGCGAAUACCGGAGAAUGUUAUCACGGGAGACACACGGCGGGUGCUAACGUCCGUCGUGAAGAGGGAAACAACCCAGACCGCCAGCUAAGGUCCCAAAGUCAUGGUUAAGUGGGAAACGAUGUGGGAAGGCCCAGACAGCCAGGAUGUUGGCUUAGAAGCAGCCAUCAUUUAAAGAAAGCGUAAUAGCUCACUGGUCGAGUCGGCCUGCGCGGAAGAUGUAACGGGGCUAAACCAUGCACCGAAGCUGCGGCAGCGACGCUGAUGCGUUGUUGGGUAGGGGAGCGUUCUGUAAGCCUGCGAAGGUGUACUGUGAGGCAUGCUGGAGGUAUCAGAAGUGCGAAUGCUGACAUAAGUAACGAUAAAGCGGGUGAAAAGCCCGCUCGCCGGAAGACCAAGGGUUCCUGUCCAACGUUAAUCGGGGCAGGGUGAGUCGACCCCUAAGGCGAGGCCGAAAGGCGUAGUCGAUGGGAAACAGGUUAAUAUUCCUGUACUUGGUGUUACUGCGAAGGGGGGACGGAGAAGGCUAUGUUGGCCGGGCGACGGUUGUCCCGGUUUAAGCGUGUAGGCUGGUUUUCCAGGCAAAUCCGGAAAAUCAAGGCUGAGGCGUGAUGACGAGGCACUACGGUGCUGAAGCAACAAAUGCCCUGCUUCCAGGAAAAGCCUCUAAGCAUCAGGUAACAUCAAAUCGUACCCCAAACCGACACAGGUGGUCAGGUAGAGAAUACCAAGGCGCUUGAGAGAACUCGGGUGAAGGAACUAGGCAAAAUGGUGCCGUAACUUCGGGAGAAGGCACGCUGAUAUGUAGGUGAAGUCCCUUGCGGAUGGAGCUGAAAUCAGUCGAAGAUACCAGCUGGCUGCAACUGUUUAUUAAAAACACAGCACUGUGCAAACACGAAAGUGGACGUAUACGGUGUGACGCCUGCCCGGUGCCGGAAGGUUAAUUGAUGGGGUCAGCGCAAGCGAAGCUCUUGAUCGAAGCCCCGGUAAACGGCGGCCGUAACUAUAACGGUCCUAAGGUAGCGAAAUUCCUUGUCGGGUAAGUUCCGACCUGCACGAAUGGCGUAAUGAUGGCCAGGCUGUCUCCACCCGAGACUCAGUGAAAUUGAACUCGCUGUGAAGAUGCAGUGUACCCGCGGCAAGACGGAAAGACCCCGUGAACCUUUACUAUAGCUUGACACUGAACAUUGAGCCUUGAUGUGUAGGAUAGGUGGGAGGCUUUGAAGUGUGGACGCCAGUCUGCAUGGAGCCGACCUUGAAAUACCACCCUUUAAUGUUUGAUGUUCUAACGUUGACCCGUAAUCCGGGUUGCGGACAGUGUCUGGUGGGUAGUUUGACUGGGGCGGUCUCCUCCUAAAGAGUAACGGAGGAGCACGAAGGUUGGCUAAUCCUGGUCGGACAUCAGGAGGUUAGUGCAAUGGCAUAAGCCAGCUUGACUGCGAGCGUGACGGCGCGAGCAGGUGCGAAAGCAGGUCAUAGUGAUCCGGUGGUUCUGAAUGGAAGGGCCAUCGCUCAACGGAUAAAAGGUACUCCGGGGAUAACAGGCUGAUACCGCCCAAGAGUUCAUAUCGACGGCGGUGUUUGGCACCUCGAUGUCGGCUCAUCACAUCCUGGGGCUGAAGUAGGUCCCAAGGGUAUGGCUGUUCGCCAUUUAAAGUGGUACGCGAGCUGGGUUUAGAACGUCGUGAGACAGUUCGGUCCCUAUCUGCCGUGGGCGCUGGAGAACUGAGGGGGGCUGCUCCUAGUACGAGAGGACCGGAGUGGACGCAUCACUGGUGUUCGGGUUGUCAUGCCAAUGGCACUGCCCGGUAGCUAAAUGCGGAAGAGAUAAGUGCUGAAAGCAUCUAAGCACGAAACUUGCCCCGAGAUGAGUUCUCCCUGACUCCUUGAGAGUCCUGAAGGAACGUUGAAGACGACGACGUUGAUAGGCCGGGUGUGUAAGCGCAGCGAUGCGUUGAGCUAACCGGUACUAAUGAACCGUGAGGCUUAACCUU
rnacentral:rRNA from 1 species